CGUUCUGAUCUCAUCCUGAGUUUCAGUCUCCGCGGCGCCGAGCGUCGACCCAAAACAUCCAACGAUUUAAAAAUAAAAUGAUUCGGGAUCGAGUUGGCUCGGUGUUUUUUCGAAAAUGAGUUGCGGAGAGUUGUUUCUGAAAGGUGCUAGCAGCACUUUUACUGGAUAUUUCUUGAUAGUCAGCAUCGCCUUCAUCCUGUAUGGCUUAACAACCACGUUGUACCUCCUGAAGACGAACAGCGUCGAAACUCUCGACCAAGAACUGGUUUCUGUGCCUUCUCUUUGCCUUGUUCUCUUCGGAGCCACUUUAUUUCUGAUCAUCAUCCUAGGGUGCUGUGCAGUUUGCCGGGAAAUCCCUUGUUGCCUCGAAACGUACUCCAUCUUCUUAGGUCUACUGGCAGCAGCACAAAUCGGUCUAGGAAUUUUCUGUUUGGUGCGUUUUAGUGUCUACAAUGAAGACUUUCAGGCCAGGGUGUUCAACGACGUCAGCAACAUGUUUGACAUGUAUGAUGUUGAACCCAAGCAGAUGGAUGACACCCAAGAAUGGAUGAAGUGUUGUGGUGUCAGUCAACCAGGUGACUGGUUGAAAAAUGGUACAUUUCCGUCGUCUUGUUGCGAAGGUAAACCCGAAAAUUGUACCUUAGAGUCUGGGAUGGUGUAUCCAGAUGGGUGUUACGAACAGCUGUACACUUAUAUUGUUGGGUCGAAUUACAUUAUUGGGUUGUCGCUCACUGUGACAGCUGUCACUGAGAUGAUUGGGGCUGUGAUGGGUAUUGGACUUUCGUGUGCCUUUUGGAGAAACAACAGGAUCAUGUGGAUUUAAACGAGUUAAAAAUGAAAGUCCGCUUAAAGUAUUAUGUAUAAUUUUAGAUGGUAGGUUAAAAUGGUUGUUAAUUAUUAUGUUACGUCACUGGGUACUACUACGUGAGCUGGGUUAUUAGUUGUAAUGACAAUUAAGUAUUUGAUUUACACUGGUCAACAAAAAUCCUAGAAAUAAUUACUUUUGUAUGUUAUAAUUGCCCUGUCGUCGGGGGCUGCAGAAUACCGCGACCGUCUGAUGCCGCGUGAGGUAAAAGUCCUCUAAGUGCAUCUGGAAUCCCUUGGUGACGUUCGGAUACCAUAGGACCUUUGAUAAUAUCGCGUCCUUCUUUUGGAAUAGUUAAGUCUGUUUUCAUAGUUGUGGAACAAAGAUACCAACGUUGACCAUGUCGAAAUUUGGAGAAAAACCAGGAAAGGAGAGACGUCCUGAUAAAAAGUGACCAAGAAGUAUCAAGGCUCUAGGAAAAGGAUCUAACCAACUUUUGUGGUAAGAUCGACAAUUUUCCAUGAGCAGCAAGACCCCAGAAGGUUCCCAUCAAGAAUCCACCUGUCGAUUUGGGUUUGAACAUUUUAUAAUAACGAAAGAGAAUACCUGCAGUAGCAGGAAAUAUCAACUCAAAACUGAUUUUCAGAGAAGAACGAAAUUAGCUGUCCUAAAUUACAUUUUCCCUAGUUUAUUGCUAAAGAACUAUUGCUAAGAAACUAAGAACUUAAUCUCUGUGAGGUCCCUGCUUUUUCCUUAUUAAAGAUUAAGGUUUUUUUGAAUAA